rfam:Schistosoma mansoni, Puerto Rico, WGS project CABG01000000 data, contig: 0153
ACCCUGCUGACGAGUCCGACAAUAGAACGAAACGGCUGUCCAGUGC